UCAGUUGUGAAAGUUUGCGGCUCAACCGUAAAAUUGCAGUUGAUACUGGAUAUCUUGAGUGCAGUUGAGGCAGGCGGAAUUCGUGGUGUAGCGGUGAAAUGCUUAGAUAUCACGAAGAACUCCGAUUGCGAAGGCAGCCUGCUAAGCUGCAACUGACAUUGAGGCUCGAAAGUGUGGGUAUCAAACAGGAUUAGAUACCCUGGUAGUCCACACGGUAAACGAUGAAUACUCGCUGUUUGCGAUAUACUGCAAGCGGCCAAGCGAAAGCGUUAAGUAUUCCACCUGGGGAGUACGCCGGCAACGGUAAAACUCAAAGGAAUUGACGGGGGCCCGCACAAGCGGAGGAACAUGUGGUUUAAUUCGAUGAUACGCGAGGAACCUUACCCGGGCUUAAAUUGCAGAUGAAUUACGGUGAAAGCCGUAAGCCGCAAGGCAUCUGUGAAGGUGCUGCAUGGUUGUCGUCAGCUCGUGCCGUGAGGUGUCGGCUUAAG
rnacentral:rRNA from 1 species